AGUCGAACGGGAUUUAGUAAACAGAAGCCUCGGCGGAAGAUUACUAAUGAGAGUGGCGAACGGGUGAGUAACGCGUGAGCAACCUGCCUAUGACAGUGGGAUAGCCUCGGGAAACCGGGAUUAAUACCGCAUAAAAUCGUAGAAACACAUGUUUUAACGGUCAAAGAUUUAUCGGUCAUAGAUGGGCUCGCGUCUGAUUAGCUAGUUGGUGAGAUAACAGCCCACCAAGGCGACGAUCAGUAGCCGGUCUGAGAGGAUGAACGGCCACAUUGGAACUGAGACACGGUCCAAACUCCUACGGGAGGCAGCAGUGGGGAAUAUUGCACAAUGGGGGAAACCCUGAUGCAGCGACGCCGCGUGAACGAAGAAGGUAUUCGUAUCGUAAAGUUCUGUCCUAUGGGAAGAUAAUGACAGUACCAUAGAAGAAAGCUCCGGCUAAAUACGUGCCAGCAGCCGCGGUAAUACGUAUGGAGCGAGCGUUGUCCGGAAUUAUUGGGCGUAAAGGGUACGCAGGCGGUUUAAUAAGUCGAAUGUUAAAGAUCGGGGCUCAACCCCGUAAAGCAUUGGAAGCUGAUAAACUUGAGUAGUGGAGAGGAAAGUGGAAUUCCUAGUGUAGUGGUGAAAUACGUAGAUAUUAGGAGGAAUACCAGUAGCGAAGGCGACUUUCUGGA
rnacentral:rRNA from 2 species